rnacentral:rRNA from 1 species
AUUGAACGCUGGCGGCAGGCCUAACACAUGCAAGUCGAGCGGAUGAAGGGAGCUUGCUCCUGGAUUCAGCGGCGGACGGGUGAGUAAUGCCUAGGAAUCUGCCUGGUAGUGGGGGAUAACGUCCGGAAACGGGCGCUAAUACCGCAUACGUCCUGAGGGAGAAAGUGGGGGAUCUUCGGACCUCACGCUAUCAGAUGAGCCUAGGUCGGAUUAGCUAGUUGGUGGGGUAAAGGCCUACCAAGGCGACGAUCCGUAACUGGUCUGAGAGGAUGAUCAGUCACACUGGAAGUGAGACACGGUCCAGACUCCUACGGGAGGCAGCAGUGGGGAAUAUUGGACAAUGGGCGAAAGCCUGAUCCAGCCAUGCCGCGUGUGUGAAGAAGGUCUUCGGAUUGUAAAGCACUUUAAGUUGGGAGGAAGGGCAGUAAGUUAAUACCUUGCUGUUUGGACGUUACCAACAGAAUAAGCACCGGCGAACUGCGU